rnacentral:rRNA from 1 species
UACGAAGGGGGGCUAGCGUUGCUCGGAAUUACUGGGCGUAAAGGGCGCGUAGGCGGAUAGUUCAGUUGGGGGUGAAAGCCCGGGGCUCAACCUCGGAACUGCCUUCAAUACUGGCUAUCUUGAGUACGGGAGAGGUGUGUGGAACUCCGAGUGUAGAGGUGAAAUUCGUAGAUAUUCGGAAAGAACACCAGUGGCGAAGGCGACACACUGGCCCGUUAC